UCCUACGGGAGGCAGCAGUGGGGAAUAUUGCACAAUGGGGGAAACCCUGAUGCAGCGACGCCGCGUGAGUGAAGAAGUAUUUCGGUAUGUAAAGCUCUAUCAGCAGGGAAGAAGAAAUGACGGUACCUGACUAAGAAGCCCCGGCUAACUACGUGCCAGCAGCCGCGGUAAUA
rnacentral:rRNA from 1 species